GAUGAACGCUGGCGGCGUGCUUAACACAUGCAAGUCGAACGGUGAAGGCGGAGCUUGCUUUGCUGGAUCAGUGGCGAACGGGUGAGUAACACGUGAGCAAUCUGCCCCUGACUCUGGGAUAAGCGCUGGAAACGGCGUCUAAUACUGGAUACGAGCUGCGAAGGCAUCUUCAGCAGCUGGAAAGAAUUUCGGUCAGGGAUGAGCUCGCGGCCUAUCAGCUUGUUGGUGAGGUAAUGGCUCACCAAGGCGUCGACGGGUAGCCGGCCUGAGAGGGUGACCGGCCACACUGGGACUGAGACACGGCCCAGACUCCUACGGGAGGCAGCAGUGGGGAAUAUUGCACAAUGGGCGAAAGCCUGAUGCAGCAACGCCGCGUGAGGGACGACGGCCUUCGGGUUGUAAACCUCUUUUAGCAGGGAAGAAGCGAAAGUGACGGUACCUGCAGAAAAAGCGCCGGCUAACUACGUG
rnacentral:rRNA from 1 species